GUUCGGCGUGGGAGUUUCCACAAGGACUGGUGUGGUCCCAGCUUUGGUGUUCUGCAUGCAGCACUGCAUUAUCUCCUCCAAAAUGCAUGCAUGUGGCAAGUGAACGCUGGGAAAAUGCUAUGGCAUUUUACCUUUGCAUGUUUAAGACUUCAGUCUAAAACUACAAUUUAUUUUCCAAACAAAUACUCUAAGAUAAGAACUACCCUGAGGUGGUCUAGCUUAGCUUGCCAAUUUGGGUAGUCAUUUCAACAGUUAAAAAAAAGUUUCAAUUUUUUUCUUUAGAGUCCCCUCUCCUUGGCAAGACAUUGACAAAAGACAGGGUACUGGGAGAAACCUGCUCUCUGAACCAGCAGAGUAGGCUUUAAAGAGCCGUUCCUUUAUGAAAUAUUCCAUUAAAAUUAAAUAACUUGUCUCUUUUCAUGUUCACUAGUGCUAGAGGCACAGCAAUAUUCAAGUAAUAAUAAUUUUGGUGGGAACAGGAAAUUUUGAGCAUGAGAGAAAUGUCUAAUUUAUAGCUGAAAGUUUAUUACAUUUUCAGUAAUGCUCAGGUCCAUAAAGCUGAGACAGAGCUGGUCAGAGGGCAUGACAGAAAGUAGUUACCGCUGGAAAGUCCUCAGCCGUUGAGCAUCUAUUGUCACCAGGGUAAGAAAACUGUCUCACAUCUGGGUGACUUCUUGUACAGGUUAGGAAAUAUUUUCCCCUUUUCAUUUGCUGAUCCAAAUCAGCAAAACAAGUUAACAUCUUUUUGUGUCCAGGGAUAUACUUAAGAGCUUUAAUUUUAAACAGGGGCCUAUUUUCCCUUGGAGUUGAGUUUUAAAAGUUUUAAUGAGCAGAAUGGACAACAAAUUAGGAAUGCAUCCCAGAGGAGUACCUCGCAUGAUUGCUGCCUUCAUUUAGCCAACUGACUGAGGAAUGACAGGAGUAUGUAAAAUUCAGAAACAUUCUAUGCCCUAAACAGAGAGGAAAAAUAGAUUUGAUGCCAAAGCUUUAGGUUAUGUUCAUCUUUGUCUCAUAUUCAGAUUGUUUUUCUGACAUUUCUCCUUGUCACUUUGUGCUCUUUUAAUUUCUUGAGAGUUUAGAGUUUACAUAGGUGUCUGCUGUAUCUUGGUUCAGUAUGUAAAUCCUGCAGCAUGAUGAAAUUGCUCAUGACUGGGUAACUCUUUGGAUAACAAUGCCUAGAGGAAAGUGGCAGAAUAUCAUAAGAAGAUACAUUCUGAUGAUUACUAGUACACAAUGUGUGAUCCUUGCCACUGAUGUGAAUAUGGUUUUGUUGGUCACUCCUAAUCUCUCAGGAUCCUGCUGUUUUCCCACGUGCCAAUGAAGACAAUGUCUCACAGAGCUUUCCCUGUGAAAGAAAUGUCAGUCAAUGCAACCGAGACGCAGUCCCAAAUGCCUCAUGUGAUCCAGUUCUAAUAAUAAGCUACCAGGAAAGAGGGGACAGCACAGCUUGAGGUCUCUCUCCUGCAUGGUUCAUCUGUCUUGUCACAUCAGUUUUUUGGGACCUCGUCAGAGCUACAUCCACAUACACAGGACUCCCUUUUCCUGCCACCCACCGUGCAGAUGACCAGCACGUGGCAGGACACCAUGUAGUGAUUUGUCCACCACUGAGCUUUGUGGAGCUGACCUGUUAUGUGUGGCUGCUGAUUCGCAUCAAAAUGUAACCAACAAUA